rnacentral:rRNA from 1 species
CACGUAGUUAGCCGGUGCUUCUUAUACAGGUACCGUCACAAAAGCUUCGUCCCUGUCGAAAGGAGUUUACAACCCGAAGGCCGUCAUCCCCCACGCGGCGUCGCUGCAUCAGGCUUCCGCCCAUUGUGCAAUAUUCCCCACUGCUGCCUCCCGUAGGAGUCUGGGCCGUAUCUCAGUCCCAAUGUGGCCGUACACCCUCUCAGGCCGGCUACCCGUCGACGCCUUGGUAGGCCAUUACCCCACCAACAAGCUGAUAGGCCGCGAGCUCAUCUUGCACCGAAAAAACUUUCCAACCACCACACUAAAGGCAGCUACUAUCCGGUAUUAGACCCAGUUUCCCAAGCUUAUCCCAGAGUACAAGGCAGAUCACCCACGUGUUACUCACCCGUUCGCCACUCGAGUACCCCUGCAAGCAGGAGCCUUUCCGUUCGACUUGCAUGUGUUAAGCACGCCGCCAGCGUUCGUCCUCGUAGCCAGGAUCAAACUACU